GUAGGGAAUAUUGGACAAUGGGCGGAAGCCUGAUCCAGCCAUGCCGCGUGUGUGAAGAAGGUCUUCGGAUUGUAAAGCACUUUAAGUUGGGAGGAAGGGCAUUAACCUAAUACGUUAGUGUUUUGACGUUACCAACAGAAUAAGCACCGGCUAACUUCGUGCCAGCAGCCGCGGUAAUACGAAGGGUGCAAGCGUUAAUCGGAAUUACUGGGCGUAAAGCGCGCGUAGGUGGUUCAGCAAGUUGAAGGUGAAAUCCCCGGGCUCAACCUGGGAACUGCCUCCAAAACUGCAUGACUAGAGUACGGUAGAGGGUAGUGGAAUUUCCUGUGUAGCGGUGAAAUGCGUAGAUAUAGGAAGGAACACCAGUGGCGAAGGCGACUACCUGGACUGAUACUGACACUGAGGUGCGAAAGCGUGGGGAGCAAACAGGAUUAGAAACCCGAGUAGUCC
rnacentral:rRNA from 1 species